rnacentral:rRNA from 1 species
UACGUAGGGGGCAAGCGUUGUCCGGAAUCAUUGGGCGUAAAGAGCGUGUAGGCGGCCCGAUAAGUCCGCCGUGAAAGUCCAGGGCUCAACCCUGGAAUGCCGGUGGAAACUGUCGGGCUGGAGUCCGGAAGAGGCGAGUGGAAUUCCUGGUGUAGCGGUGAAAUGCGCAGAUAUCAGGAGGAACACCAAUGGCGAAGGCAGCUCGCUGGGACGGUACUGACGAUGAGACGCGAAAGCGUGGGGAGCGAACAGG